UACGAAGGGGACUAGCGUUGUUCGGAAUUACUGGGCGUAAAGCGCGCGUAGGCGGAUCGCUAAGUCAGGGGUGAAAUCCCGGGGCUCAACCCUGGAACUGCCUUUGAUACUGACGAUCUGGAGAUCGGGAGAGGUUGGUGGAAUUCCGAGUGUAGAGGUGAAAUUCGUAGAUAUUCGGAGGAACACCAGAAGCGAAGGCGGCCAACUGGCCCGAUACUGACGCUGAGGCGCGAAAGCGUGGGGAGCAAACAGG
rnacentral:rRNA from 1 species